CUGGUAACUAGCGCGCAACGUAAUUGUAUUCCGUGGCCGGGAGCGUGUCGUCGAAUGCUGUUUCGCGGUUGAUGGCAGGGGCGUUGACGUGCGUUCAUUUGAAUGAACGAAAAAAAUCCAAAGGAAAUGCAUGGAGAUAAAGGUCGGGGAUUCCAGAGGGCUGGCAUCUCUGGGUACCGUGAAAGGACUGAAAAUUCUCUUCUCGUUGACUAUCGGGCGUAGGAGAGCAAGUGACGAAAUGGAAGAAGAGAAGAUAUCAUCGAGACAAGGCGUUUGUCCUACGGGACGAUGACGGGACUAUAGUGGGACGGAGGAUGCGAGCUCUAGGAAUCCUGGCAAUCAUGCGUUUCACUGGAGGCAAUAAACGCAAGGAAACCGUGAACCGGGACUUCAACGCCGCCAUCAAUACCAGAUGAUGCGCGGCGCUGGAGACGAGACCCGAGGAGCAGAGGCGAGCGAGCUUUGUGGGGCCCCCUCUGAGGCUCGAUGUCUACGUCGAGGAAAGUGAUACCGAGCGCAGGCGGUCGGUCAAGAAAGGUUGGGCAGCGUCUGCGCGUGGACACGUACGUAGAUCUUCCAUGGCUGCGAAACGUUUGCGUUUACUGUCAUGUUUAGUAGAGUUUUUUGGUUUGACACGUCGUCUACAGCGACGAUAGAUCCCAGAUUGCGGGAUGGAAUCUGGUAUUCGGGAAAGCAUCGAACAUGCAGCACCCUACCUUCAAGCUUUGUAACCCCGAAUGCUUCUCGUAUAUAUUGGUAGUUUCGUACAGUCUAUUGCGCAUCGAGUGCCUGCCCUGAGCACCCGCUACAGCGCUUAUACCGCUGGUGCGCAUGCAGCACAGUAACGGAACGCCUUUGCCAUACGACUUGGGGCGUCGCCUGGAGGCGAACUGCCCCUGAACCAGGCUCCGGUCUUGUCGCCGCUGCGCGACGCUCUGGAGAAACCAGACAGCAGCUAGGAUGAAUCCUGAGCGCCGCCUCUCACGUUCGCGAUGUUGUACGCAAAGCGUUGUCGGUUGGCGACGCGGGCUUUUGCUUGGCAUUCACCAGUGAGCAGGUGUGCAAGGCACCGGGCCUUCCGACGAGAAGGUAGAAUGUGAGUUUGCUGGCCGCUACUGAGCGUUGGGGCUCGCUCAGUUACGAGACCGACGCCUCAAUCGAUACGAGCGCGGAUGGAUUGGACGGGCGUAUGCGGCCUGUGGGGUGGUCUUGUGCCACAGGCGCUUCCGCUGACGGGUACGCGGUGCGCUCGGAGCUCGGGUGCUCUGCGCGUUUGUUACGGAGUAUUGGGGUCAGCGCUGGACACGUUCAGGUACGGAGUAGGAAAAUAAGCAUGCAUAGGAUGGGGGUUUGUUGUCUUGUGCGCACACUUGUUUCGGAAUGAAGCGGAACGUGUCUAUGGAGCCAGGUAGGUUGUGCGCGCUAACGCCUGGGUCUGUUGCUAGUGGUACCAGUACCAGCUUUGGUGGACCUUUCCAGCGGCGGAUUUGUUUGCCGGUCCCUUAGUUUUGGAUUUAAAUGGGCAGGUCUUUCGUGUUGCUCCAGCUCCGUUGCCGGCAGUCGAAAGACGGCGAAAGCAGGUCAAGUCCCGAAUGGUCUGCUUUGCGUAGUUGACGACACAUCCCGUGCACAAGUAGUUGCUGCGGUCGACGAUUCGCUUCCCAUGCUCAUUUUCCUUGUAUGCAGCAUCGGUGCGCGAGUCGCAGCAGCAGUACUCGGCUGUGGUCAGGUGUUCUCAUAUGACCAAUAGACUUGUUCCCCGUUUGAGAGCAGGUCUGUGGCGUACGAACACCUGCUUCGGCGCUCGUUGCGUACCCUUCACGGGCACCGAAGGCGUCAGUCGGUACCCGCUUCCAUCAGCGAGCCCGGUGCCGUAGCCGCCGAUCACUGGCCUCCGCUGGGGUAUCCCGUCGACGAGUACGGUGACCGUUGCAAACGCGUACCCUGUUGCCUUCCAUAGAGGAUUUGUGGAACGCGAUGUUCCAUAUAAUGAAACGAGGAACGGAAGAAGAAUCAAGGCCGGAGAACAAGUUGAGGAAACUCGAUCCGUCUUGGCUUCUUUCAUGCAGCGCAGUGAAGCAUUCUUUAUUGGAAUCGAUUGCUGGGAUGGCUCAAGUCCGAGUCCAAGACCUUCGUCUGCGCAGGAUUGAGGACACGACGCGGGCCCUGCUGGAGGUUAUCGCGUAACAGGCAUCACGCUACAGUCGAGACCAGUUUCGCCGAUGACCCUGCAGCCAAUACGUAUUUCUCUUUCGAGCACGAAUCGGCUACUUGACUUGAGACGUCCACUGAGCAUUCGGAUGGAGCCUGUAACCAAGUCCUCUGUGGACAAGGUCCAGUUUCUCGCCUCGUGAACAGCGCUGUGCGAAUCGCUGGGCGCACCUGACGCUUUGAAACACAAAAGAUCCAAAACUUGAUGCGUCCUUGAUCCGAGCAUGCUACUCGCACGGAAAGGCCAAGAGUGAAUGCUCCUACGCAUGGUUUUGAGAAUGAUAUCCGUUAUUUUAGAAUUCCGUGUUUGAAUGCGUUGCGAAUUGACUUGCUUUCCGUAACGCAACGAAUACCAGCCGCAAAGCGU